GCCAGUGUGAUGUAGUGGUCUGAGCACUGGACUAUGACUCUAGAGGCCAGGGUUUGAUUCCCUUCUUGGCCA
rnacentral:tRNA from 1 species